ACCCUACGGGGGGCAGCAGUGAGGAAUAUUGGGCAAUGGAGGCAACUCUGACCCAGCCAUGCCGCGUGAGUGAAGAAGGUUUUCGGAUUGUAAAGCUCUUUCGGAUGUGACGAUGAUGACGGUAGCAUCUAAAGAAGCCCCGGCUAACUUCGUGCCAGCAGCCGCGGUAAUACGAAGGGGGCAAGCGUUGUUCGGAAUUACUGGGUGUAAAGGGCGUGUAGGCGGGAGGGCAAGUCAGACGUGAAAUUCCAGGGCUCAACCCUGGAACUGCGUUUGAAACUGUUCUUCUUGAGUGGUGGAGAGGC
rnacentral:rRNA from 1 species